rnacentral:rRNA from 1 species
AACGUAGGAGGCGAGCGUUAUCCGGAUUCACUGGGCGUAAAGCGCAUGUAGGCGGCUCGUCAAGUCGGUUGUGAAAGCCUCUGGCUCAACUGGGGGAGGACAACCGAAACUGAGGGGCUGGAGGCUCAGAGAGGAAGGUGGAAUUCCCGGUGUAGCGGUGGAAUGCGUAGAGAUCGGGAGGAACACCAGUGGCGAAAGCGGCCUUCUGGCUGAGACCUGACGCUGAGAUGCGAAAGCGUGGGUAG